rnacentral:rRNA from 1 species
GACGAACGCUGGCGGCGUGCUUAACACAUGCAAGUCGAACGGAAAGGCCCUGCUUUUGUGGGGUGCUCGAGUGGCGAACGGGUGAGUAACCCGUGAGUAACCUGCCCUUGACUUUGGGAUAACUUCAGGAAACUGGGGCUAAUACCGGAUAGGAGCUCCUGCUGCAUGGUGGGGGUUGGAAAGUUUCGGCGGUUGGGGAUGGACUCGCGGCUUAUCAGCUUGUUGGUGGGGUAGUGGCUUACCAAGGCUUUGACGGGUAGCCGGCCUGAGAGGGUGACCGGCCACAUUGGGACUGCGAUACGGCCCAGACUCCUACGGGAGGCAGCAGUGGGGAAUAUUGCACAAUGGGCGGAAGCCUGAUGCAGCAACGCCGCGUGCGGGAUGACGGCCUUCGGGUUGUAAACCGCUUUCGCCUGUGACGAAGCGUGAGUGACGGUAAUGGGUAAAGAAGCACCGGCUAACUACGUG